rnacentral:rRNA from 1 species
GACGGGGCCCGCACAAGCGGCGGAGCAUGCGGAUUAAUUCGAUGCAACGCGAAGAACCUUACCAAGGCUUGACAUACACCGGUAACGCCCAGAGAUGGGUGCCCCUUUGUGGUCGGUGUACAGGUGGUGCAUGGUUGUCGUCAGCUCGUGUCGUGAGAUGUUGGGUUAAGUCCCGCAACGAGCGCAACCCUCGUCCUAUGUUGCCAGCGGGUCAUGCCGGGGACUCAUGGGAGACUGCCGGGGUCAACUCGGAGGAAGGUGGGAUGACGUCAAAUCAUCAUGCCCCUUAUGUCUUGGGCUUCACGCAUGCUACAAUGGCCGGUACAAAGGGCUGCGAUACCGCGAGGUGGAGCGAAUCCCAGAAAGCCGGUCUCAGUUCGGAUUGGGGUCUGCAACUCGACCCCAUGAAGUCGGAGUCGCUAGUAAUCGCAGAUCAGCAACGCUGCGGUGAAUACGUUCCCGGGCCUU